rnacentral:RNase_P_RNA from 1 species
AGUUGGUUAGACAAUCGCUAAAUUUUAGUUUAGAGGAAAGUCCGGGCUCUAACGGGAACGAUGCCAGGUAAUUCCUGGAGGGUGUGAGCCCAUGGAAAGUGCAUCAGAAAAUAGACCGCUUUUUUAAAAAGUAAGGGUGAAAAGGUGUGGUAAGAGCACACCGCGUAAAUGGUAACAUUUAUGGCAUUGCAAACCCCAUCGAGAGCAAAACCAAAUAGAAGAGCUAUGAUUACCCGUGAUCGCUCUAGGGUAGGUUGCUAGAGGUGUUUGGCGACAAACAUCCCAGAUGAAUGAUUGUCCAUGACAGAACCCGGCUUAUCGACCAACUCC